GACGAACGCUGGCGGCGUGCUUAACACAUGCAAGUCGAACGGAAAGGCCCUGCUUUUGUGGGGUGCUCGAGUGGCGAACGGGUGAGUAACACGUGAGUAACCUGCCCUUGACUUUGGGAUAACUUCAGGAAACUGGGGCUAAUACCGGAUAGGAGCUCCUGCUGCAUGGUGGGGGUUGGAAAGUUUCGGCGGUUGGGGAUGGACUGGCGGCUUAUCGGCUUGUUGGUGGGGUAGUGGCUUACCAAGGCUUUGCAGGGUAGCCGGCCUGGGAGGGUGACCGGCCACAUUGGGACUGCGGUACGGCCCAGACUGCAACUGGAGGCAGCAGUGGGGAAUAUGGCACAAUGGGCGGAAGCCUGAUGCAGCAACGCCGCGUGCGGGAUGACGGCCUGCGGGUUGUAAACCGCUUUCGCCUGUGACGAAGCGUGAGUGACGGUAAUGGGUAAAGAAGCACCGGCUAACUACGUG
rnacentral:rRNA from 1 species